GUAAAAUUCAACGCACACGAAGUGACAGAGAAAAUAGUGACACAUUUGUAUGGUAAGCUAGAACGCCACCUGGGGGACCCUCCCACUCCCCCACCCAGCUCCGACGAUCUGUCGGGAUUGUCGACCCCCGGGGUCGAUGUUUCGCUGCUGUCUUCCUUUCCCACAGAUCUUCCUUUCAUUCGAACCAUUUGUCCUGCCAGUACUGACGAGGCUUGGGUUGGGUGCUGGCAACAGGAUAAAAUGUUUUUGUCCACAUAUGAUGGUAAUACCAAGCAAACAAUCACUGCCAAAGUUAUGGACAUGUGCCUCAUGAGUAAUGGCGAUCUUCUAGUCGUGUGUUAUCUAAGUUACAACCUCAAAAGUAUAGGAAAAAACGGAAAAAUGAAAGAAUUGAAGUCCGACUUGCCUCUGUAUCCGACAGGUGUCGUUGCUAUGAAGAACGGGGACAUCAUCUUAAGCAUGGUUGAUAGGUAUGAUUUAAAGAUGGACGAAAACAGUAUGCGUCGGCUGAUGAAACUAGACAAGGAUGGGAACACCCUUUUGAUAGUCGAAAACGAUUUGGACGGGAAAGCAAUCUUUACGUACCCUGCUAAAGUAACGGUGAACAUCAAUGGCGAUAUAUGUGCCAUCGACGAGACUGGAGAAUACUCGGGGAGACUUUUGGUCUUUGACUCGAUGGGGGAUUUGAAAUUCGUUUAUGGAGAGCAAGAUAGCACGUUUGAGGAAACCUGCGAUCUGAGCUGCUGCGCAUGCGAUUCGGAAGGUAGAAUCGUAGCAUCUGAUUGGUUGCAUCACAAGAUCCACAUUUUGACAGCAGACGGCUCUUUCAUUGGCUAUCUUCUGACUGAGGAUGACGGGAUACAUUUCCCAUUCUGUGUGUCGUUUGGUUCAGACGGUGUAUUGUGGAUAGGGUGCAAGCUGUCCAGAGAGGCUCCGAAAGGGGACAUUGUCAGAGUCAAAUACAAAUGUUAAAAUACUCAUAUCCAGUAAAUUGUGUUUCGGUUUACAGUAAUAAUUAUGGUCGUUACUAUGGUGAAUGUUGGUUAUUAGGAAUAAAGAUCCCUUAUUGUACCG
rnacentral:misc_RNA from 1 species